AAGGGAGAGGAAUAAGUAGAAAUCUACCCUCGGAUCGGGGAUAGCGGCGGGAAACUGCCGGUAAUACCCGAUAACGUCUUUGGACCAAAGGUGUGAUUCCGUCUGAGGAUGAGUCUACUUCCUAUUAGCUAGUUGGCGGGGUAAUGGCCCACCAAGGCAACGAUGGGUAGCAGGUGUGAGAGCAUGACCUGCCUCAUUGGGACUGAGACACUGCCCAGACACCUACGGGUGGCUGCAGUCGAGAAUCUUCGGCAAUGGACGAAAGUCUGACCGAGCGACGCCGCGUGCGGGAUGAAGGCCUUCGGGUUGUAAACCGCUGUCGGAGGGGAACAAAUGUACGGGGGUUCUCCCCUGUAUUUGAGUGAACCUAGGAGGAAGGAGAGGCUAAGCUCGUGCCAGCAGCCGCGGUAAGACGAGCUCUCCGAACGUUAUUCGGUAUCACUGGGCUUAAAGAGUUCGUAGGCGGUCUGGUAGGUGAGGUGUGAAAUCCCCCGGCUCAACCGGGGAACUGCGCUUCAAACCGCCGGACUUGAGGGAGACAGAGGUGGGCGGAACAGAUGGU
rnacentral:rRNA from 1 species